rnacentral:rRNA from 1 species
GACGAACGCUGGCGGCGUGCUUAACACAUGCAAGUCGAACGGAAAGGCCCUGCUUUUGUGGGGUGCUCGAGUGGCGAACGGGUGAGUAACACGUGAGUAACCUGCCCUUGACUUUGGGAUAACUUCAGGAAACUGGGGCUAAUACCGGAUAGGAGCUCCUGCUGCAUGGUGGGGGUUGGAAAGUUUCGGCGGUUGGGGAUGGACUCGCGGCUUAUCAGCUUGUUGGUGGGGUAGUGGCUUACCAAGGCUUUGACGGGUAGCCGGCCUGAGAGGGUGACCGGCCACAUUGGGACUGAGAUACGGCCCAGACUCCUACGGGAGGCAGCAGUGGGGAAUAUUGCACAAUGGGCGGAAGCCUGAUGCAGCGGCGCCGCGUGCGGGAUGACGGCCUUCGGGUUGUAAACCGCUUUCGCCUGUGACGAGGCGUGAGUGACGGUAAUGGGUAAAGAAGCACCGGCUAACUACGUG